UCUAUGCAGUAAGAACCAUCUUGAUAAAACAGCAGUGACUGCCAUAAUUCACCACUGACGCUUUUUAUGUUUGACACCUGGAAACCAUACUGAAUGAAACUUCAGAGGGGAUCCAGCACAACGCAGGUAAAGAAAUGAGAGUCCAAGAAGGCAGCCUCUGGGGAAGGCGAGAGGGGGAUCACUAAGGUCACCCAGCAGGAGAGGCAAGAAGUCCACAACUUUUUCCUUGGGCCUGAAACCUGAAGAAUCAGUUUUUCAUAAGAGGAGUAAAAGAUAAGCAACUAGGAACGAAGACAG